GCCAGCAGCCAUAUCACCCUGCAACUCACAAGUGGCAGCCCCCUGAAGCUCAGCAGGUGGGAACCUGGUCACUUCCUGGAUGGGAGACCUCCUGGGAAAAACUAAGGUUGCUGCUGGAA
rnacentral:rRNA from 1 species